GGUGCCUUAACCAUGCAAGUCGAGCGGCAGCGCGGGGGCAAACCCUGGCGGCGAGCGGCGAACGGGUGAAGUAAUACAUCGGAACGUGUCCUGUCGUGGGGGAUAGCCCGGCGAAAGCCGGAUUAAUACCGCAUGAGAUCGAGAGAUGAAAGCAGGGGACCUGGGGGUAACUUCGGGCCUUGCGCGAUUGGAGCGGCCGAUGUCCGAUUAGCUAGUUGGUGAGGUAACGGCUCACCAAGGCGACGAUCGGUAGCUGGUCUGAGAGGACGACCAGCCACACUGGGACUGAGACACGGCCCAGACUCCUACGGGAGGCAGCAGUGGGGAAUUUUGGACAAUUGGGGGCAACCCUGAUCCAGCCAUGCCGCGUGUGUGAUGAAGGCCUUCGGGUUGUAAAGCACUUUCGGGCGGAACGAAAUCGCGGCGGGCGAAUAUCCCGCGUGGGAUUGACGGUACCGUAAGAAAGAAGCAACCGGGUUAAACUUACGUGCCAAGCAGCCCGCGGUAAAUUACGUUAAGGGUGGCGAAGCGUUAAUUCGGGAAAUUA
rnacentral:rRNA from 1 species